GAAGUGCGAUAAGCAUUGCGAAUUGCAGAACCGUGAGUCAUCAGAUCUUUGAACGUAACUGGCGCCGGUUGGUUCUCCAGCCGGCAUGCUUGUUUCAGUGUCUCUUUAAUCCUCACCACGAUCAUAAUGCGAGAGAUGCCCUUCUCUUGUUAAGUGAGCAAGCACAAUGUAAUCUGCGAGAGAUUCUCACAGCAGAGUCUCGCUCAAUGCAGCAGUCACAUUGCUUACAAUGUGAACUCAUUGAGAGCGAUUGCAUCAUCUCGACGGCGCAGGCUGUAAGAUAUGUGCUUAGACCAACAAACUAAAACUGCAUCUGAAAUCAAGUAGGACCACCCGCUGAACUUAA
rnacentral:misc_RNA from 1 species